rnacentral:rRNA from 1 species
UAUUAUUUAAAGCGUUAUUUAAAAUACUUAAGUAGUAAUAGUUAUGUUCUUGAAACUUUAAAAAUUUGGCGGUAUUUUAGUCUAUCCAGAGGAACCUGUUUUAUAAUCGAUAUUCCACGAUGGACCUUACUUAAAUUUGUAAUCAGUUUAUAUACCGUCGUUAUCAGAAUAUUUUAUAAGAAUAUUAAUAUUCAAUAAUUUUUAUUAAAAUUUAUAUCAGAUCAAGGUGUAGCUUAUAUUUGAGUAAUAAUGGGUUACAAUAAAUUUAUUUAAACGGAUAGAAUUAUGAAAAAAUUUUUGAAGGUGGAUUUGGUAGUAAAAUUAUAAAGAUUAAUAAUUUGAUUUUAGCUCUAAAAUAUGUACACAUCGCCCGUCGCUCUUAUUAUUAAGGUAAGAUAAGUCGUAACAUAGUAGAUGUACUGGAAAGUGUAUCUAGAAUGA